rnacentral:rRNA from 1 species
ACCAGCCACACUGGGACUGAGACACGGCCCAGACUCCUACGGGAGGCAGCAGUGGGGAAUUUUGGACAAUGGGGGAAACCCUGAUCCAGCCAUGCCGCGUGAGUGAAGAAGGCCUUCGGGUUGUAAAGCUCUUUCAGCGAACGAAACGGUCACGGCUAAUACCUGUGACUACUGACGGUACCGGAAGAAGAAGCACCGGCUAACUACGUGCCAGCAGCCGCGGUAAUACGUAGGGUGCAAGCGUUAAUCGGAAUUAUGGGCGUAAAGCGUGCGCAGGCGGUUUUGUAAGUCAGAUGUGAAAUC